rnacentral:rRNA from 1 species
GAUGAACGCUGGCGGCGUGCUUAACACAUGCAAGUCGAGCGAAGCAGUUAAGAAGAUUCUUCGGAUGAUUCUUAACUGACUGAGCGGCGGACGGGUGAGUAACGCGUGGGUGACCUGCCCCAUACCGGGGGAUAACAGCUGGAAACGGCUGCUAAUACCGCAUAAGCGCACAGAGCUGCAUGGCUCGGUGUGAAAAACUCCGGUGGUAUGGGAUGGGCCCGCGUCUGAUUAGGCAGUUGGCGGGGUGACGGCCCACCAAACCGACGAUCAGUAGCCGGCCUGAGAGGGCGACCGGCCACAUUGGGACUGAGACACGGCCCAAACUCCUACGGGAGGCAGCAGUGGGGAAUAUUGCACAAUGGGGGAAACCCUGAUGCAGCGACGCCGCGUGAGCGAAGAAGUAUUUCGGUAUGUAAAGCUCUAUCAGCAGGGAAGAUAAUGACGGUACCUGACUAAGAAGC